rnacentral:rRNA from 1 species
GAUGAACGCUGGCGGCGUGCCUAAUACAUGCCAGUCGAGCGAACGGACGAGAAGCUUGCUUCUCUGAUGUUAGCGGCGGACGGGUGAGUAACACGUGGAUAACCUACCUAUAAGACUGGGAUAACUUCGGGAAACCGGAGCUAAUACCGGAUGAUAUUUUGAACCGCAUGGUUCAAAAGUGAAAGACGGUCUUGCUGUCACUUAUAGAUGGAUCCGCGCUGCAUUAGCUAGUUGGUAAGGUAACGGCUUACCAAGGCAACGAUGCAUAGCCGACCUGAGAGGGUGAUCGGCCACACUGGAACUGAGACACGGUCCAGACUCCUACGGGAGGCAGCAGUAGGGAAUCUUCCGCAAUGGGCGAAAGCCUGACGGAGCAACGCCGCGUGAGUGAUGAAGGUCUUCGGAUCGUAAAACUCUGUUAUUAGGGAAGAACAUGUGUGUAAGUAACUGUGCACAUCUUGACGGUACCUAGUCAGAAAGCCACGGCUAACUACGUG